rnacentral:rRNA from 1 species
AUGAACGCUAGCGGCAGGCUUAACACAUGCAAGUCGAGGGGCAGCACGAGGUAGCAAUACUUUGGUGGCGACCGGCGCACGGGUGCGUAACGCGUAUGCAACCUACCUUUAACAGGGGCAUAACACUGAGAAAUUGGUACUAAUUCCCCAUAACAUUCGAGAAGGCAUCUUCUUGGGUUAAAAACUCCGGUGGUUAAAGAUGGGCAUGCGUUGUAUUAGCUAGUUGGUGAGGUAACGGCUCACCAAGGCAACGAUACAUAGGGGGACUGAGAGGUUAACCCCCCACAUUGGUACUGAGACACGGACCAAACUCCUACGGGAGGCAGCAGUGAGGAAUAUUGGUCAAUGGACGCAAGUCUGAACCAGCCAUGCCGCGUGCAGGAAGACGGCUCUAUGAGUUGUAAACUGCUUUUGUACUAGGGUAAACGCUUCUACGUGUAGGAGCCUGAAAGUAUAGUACGAAUAAGGAUCGGCUAACUCCGUGCCAGCAGCCGCGGUAAUACGGAGGAUCCAAGCGUUAUCCGGAUUUAUUGGGUUUAAAGGGUGCGUAGGCGGUUUGAUAAGUUAGAGGUGAAAUACCGGGGCUCAACUCCGGAACUGCCUCUAAUACUGUUGAACUAGAGAGUAGUUGCGGUAGGCGGAAUGUAUGGUGUAGCGGUGAAAUGCUUAGAGAUCAUACAGAACACCGAUUGCGAAGGCAGCUUACCAAACUAUAUCUGACGUUGAGGCACGAAAGCGUGGGGAGCAAACAGGAUUAGAUACCCUGGUAGUCCACGCCGUAAACGAUGAUUACUAGGUGUGGGGGGACUGACCCCUUCCGUGCCGCAGCAAACGCAAUAAGUAAUCCACCUGGGGAGUACGACCGCAAGGUUGAAACCCAAAGGAAUUGACGGGGGCCCGCACAAGCGGAGGAACAUGUGGUUUAAUUCGAUGAUACGCGAGGAACCUUACCCGGGCUUGAAAGUUAGUGACGAUUCUGGAAACAGGAUUUCCCUUCGGGGCACGAAACUAGGUGCUGCAUGGUUGUCGUCAGCUCGUGCCGUGAGGUGUCGGGUUAAGUCCCAUAACGAGCGCAACCCCUACCGUUAGUUGCCAUCAGGUCAAGCUGGGCACUCUGGCGGGACUGCCGGUGUAAGCCGAGAGGAAGGUGGGGAUGACGUCAAAUCAGCACGGCCCUUACGUCCGGGGCUACACACGUGUUACAAUGGUAGGUACAGAGGGCCGCUACCCCGUGAGGGGAUGCCAAUCUCGAAAGCCUAUCUCAGUUCGGAUCGGAGGCUGAAACCCGCCUCCGUGAAGUUGGAUUCGCUAGUAAUCGCGCAUCAGCCAUGGCGCGGUGAAUACGUUCCCGGGCCUUGUACACACCGCCCGUCAAGCCAUGGAAGCUGGGGGUGCCUGAAGUUCGUGACCGCAAGGAGCGACCUAGGGCAAAACCGGUGACUGGGGCU